CCACCCCUAAGAGAGCAGAGAGAGAGCGAACCACCACAGCCGUUUAAAAGACUUGCCCUACCAAACACUUUUUUUCGAAAAAUAGCCUUCGCCCAGUGAAGACGCUGCCGGGUUCCGAGUGAUAUAGCGGACUUUUCGAAAAACCCCUUGCUGUCGGUCGGAAAAGUGCGAUUCUUUGGGCGGAAAAUUGAAAAAUCGCUUCACCCCUCCCCCAAAAAGGAUGCGAAGGCGCGUCUCCCACCUCUAAGGACUGUUUUUUUUAUGUUGUUGUUAUUUUUUGUAACGCUCAGGCGCUUCGGUUGCCUCGCAAAAGUGUUAAAAGAUCAAAACAAUGGAUAAACAAUAUUAAACUGAAUUAAAGGAUACCGGUGGUGAAGGAUAACAGACGUGUUUUGCCAAAAAAAGAGGCCUGUUUGAAGUCAAUUCGAGGUACGGCGCGUCCUCAAAAAAGUGCAAUAACAAGAAAUCGGGAAGAUAAAAUAAUAAAAAAUAUAAUAAUAAAAAAAGAAUAGUUUAAUUUAGACCGUGUGAUUAAAAAUUGAUGGAAUCUUAAAUAAGUAACUUAUUCGCAAGCGACUAUCCAGAAGCGGACAGUAAAAGGGAGAGCCAAAAAAAAAGGGGAGAGAAGUUCAGGCCCCGGAACUGCGCUGAUUCUUCCACCAACAACUUUCUCCACUUAUUUAUUUUAGUUUUCAAUAAUUAAGUUUUAAAAAUAAAUAAGAAAAGAAGAACAAUAUGAAAAAUAUGAUCUAUGAAGCUGAAAAUAGUUCCUAGACUCUGGAAUUGCCAGUUGCCGGUUGCCAGUUCCCAUUUCCACUUCCAUGUCCCAUCUCGAGUGGCAGAAAAGCAGGAAGCGAUCCAAAUAUAUAUCCAAGGAGGGCCCCACCAUAUGUGGGUUGUGGCAAGAACUCCUCCCCUGCCUCCUUAUGGAGAGAGGCCAAGAAUGAGAAGAAAGACCAAGAUUCUGGUUCUUGUUCGCAUGACCAAAAGGCAUCUUCGCAGACUCCCUCCUCUUUUGGAACUGAGAUGGUAGAAUGCCCAUUAAAUUAUUGCCACGAUCUAUUAGCAGCCAGGGAGGAUCGGAUCGGAUGGGAUGGGAUGGGAUGCUUGUUUUUGUUGCAUGCCUCCAAGUGGCAGGCCUAAAAAUAGAACUCCCUGCCCCCAUAUGUUCCGGAUGGGAAUCUCGAUCGGCGUCUGGCGUUGAAAGGCGAAGCGCCACUCCAGAAAGAGACUAUAUAUAUUAUUACUAUUAUAUUAUAUAACUAUUGUAACCAGAUAUUGUUUCGAGUGUAAGCUAGUCCCUAAGAUCUCCUGACUGACAUGCAAUUUCUGCAUCCGAGUGUGAUGGAUGGCAGUAAUUGGCGCUUCAGUUAUCAAUUGAUAUGGAAAUGCCAUAAGUGAUUGAUUUUCAAUAAAAAGCGAGGAGGGCAGCCAGAAGAUCACCUUCAUCUACAGACUAUA